rnacentral:rRNA from 1 species
UACGGAGGGUGCAAGCGUUAUCCGGAUUUACUGGGUUUAAAGGGUGUGUAGGCGGGCUUUUAAGUCAGUGGUGAAAUCUCCGGGCUCAACCCGGAAACUGCCAUUGAUACUAUUAGUCUUGAAUUUUGUUGAGGUAGGCGGAAUAAGUCAUGUAGCGGUGAAAUGCAUAGAUAUGACUUAGAACACCAAUUGCGAAGGCAGCUUGCUAAACAAAUAUUGACGCUGAGGCACGAAAGCGUGGGGAUCAAAACAGG